CACGUAGGGCGCAAGCGUUGUCCGGAAUUAUUGGGCGUAAAGAGCUCGUAGGCGGUCUGUUGCGUCCGCUGUGAAAACUCGGGGCUUAACCCCGAGCCUGCAGUGGAUACGGGCAGACUAGAGGUAGGUAGGGGAGAAUGGAAUUCCCGGUGUAGCGGUGAAAUGCGCAGAUAUCAGGAGGAACACCGGUGGCGAAGGCGGUUCUCUGGGCCUUACCUGACACUGAGGAGCGAAAGCGUGGGGAGCGAACAGG
rnacentral:rRNA from 1 species